GAUGAACGCUGGCGGCGUGCCUAAUACAUGCAAGUCGAGCGAACAGACGAGGAGCUUGCUCCUCUGACGUUAGCGGCGGACGGGUGAGUAACACGUGGAUAACCUACCUAUAAGACUGGGAUAACUUCGGGAAACCGGAGCUAAUACCGGAUAAUAUAUUGAACCGCAUGGUUCAAUAGUGAAAGACGGUUUUGCUGUCACUUAUAGAUGGAUCCGCGCCGCAUUAGCUAGUUGGUAAGGUAACGGCUUACCAAGGCAACGAUGCGUAGCCGACCUGAGAGGGUGAUCGGCCACACUGGAACUGAGACACGGUCCAGACUCCUACGGGAGGCAGCAGUAGGGAAUCUUCCGAAAUGGGCGAAAGCCUGACGGAGCAACGCCGCGUGAGUGAUGAAGGUCUUCGGAUCGUAAAACUCUGUUAUUAGGGAAGAACAAAUGUGUAAGUAAAUAUGCACGUCUUGACGGUACCUAAUCAGAAAGCCACGGCUAACUACGUG
rnacentral:rRNA from 1 species